UACGUAGGGUGCAGGCGUUAAUCGGAAUUACUGGGCGUAAAGCGUGCGCAGGCGGCUCCUUAAGUCAGAUGUGAAAUCCCCGGGCUUAACCUGGGAACUGCGUUUGAAACUGGGGAGCUGGAGUGUAGAAGAGGGGGGUGGAAUUCCAGGUGUAGCAGUGAAAUGCGUAGAGAUCUGGAGGAACACCGAUGGCGAAGGCAGCCCCCUGGGCUAACACUGACGCUCAGGCACGAAAGCGUGGGGAGCAAACAGG
rnacentral:rRNA from 1 species